rnacentral:rRNA from 1 species
CCUACGGGGUGCUGCAGUGAGGAAUAUUGGUCAAUGGGAGAGAUCCUGAACCAGCCAAGCCGCGUGAGGGAAGACGGCCCUAUGGGUUGUAAACCUCUUUUGUCGGAGAACAAAACCCGGGACGUGUCCCGGACUGCGUGUAUCCGAAGAAAAAGCAUCGGCUAACUCCGUGCCAGCAGCCGCGGUAAUACGGAGGAUGCGAGCGUUAUCCGGAUUUAUUGGGGUUAAAGGGUGCGUAGGCGGUCCGUUAAGUCAGUGGUAAACUUGCGGGGCUCAACCCCGUCGAGCCGUUGAAACUGGCAGACUUGAGUUGGCGAGAAGUACGCGGAAUGCGCGGUGUAGCGGUGAAAUGCAUAGAUAUCGCGCAGAACUCCGAUUGCGAAGGCAGCGUACCGGCGCCAGACUGACGCUGAGGCACGAAAGCGUGGGGAGCGAACAGGAUUAGAUACCCUUGUAGUC